rnacentral:rRNA from 1 species
CCUACGGGUGGCAGCAGUGGGGAAUAUUGCACAAUGGGGGAAACCCUGAUGCAGCGACGCCGCGUGAGUGAAGAAGUAUUUCGGUAUGUAAAGCUCUAUCAGCAGGGAAGAAACAGACGGUACCUGAGUAAGAAGCCCCGGCUAACUACGUGCCAGCAGCCGCGGUAAUACGUAGGGGGCAAGCGUUAUCCGGAUUUACUGGGUGUAAAGGGAGCGUAGACGGCGACGAAAGUCUGAAGUGAAAGCCCGUGGCUUAACCACGGAACUGCUUUGGAAACUGUUUUGCUGGAGUGCAGGAGAGGUAAGCGGAAUUCCUAGUGUAGCGGUGAAAUGCGUAGAUAUUAGGAGGAACACCAGUGGCGAAGGCGGCUUACUGGACGGUAACUGACGUUGAGGCUCGAAAGCGUGGGGAGCAAACAGGAUUAGAUACCCCUGUAGUC